CCAGAUAUGCCUACUGAGUUGAUGGCGUGCAGUACGGGGCUAGCUCUCCGACUCUGAUUCCACUAGAGCCUCCGAUGCCCAGUGAUCGAUACGCCAUUGAUCCGGACUCACCGCCGCCAUCGCGAGGGUACAUAGAGGAGGUGGUUGGGCUGGUAGCCACACUCGAGGGCAUGGUCUUGCGCAGGGAGGCACAGUUGUCUGUCGCGGGCAUUCAGAUGCCUUCCUGGUCCGGUCAGCCGCAGACCAGGCCAUCCGGGCCUCAUUAGGGAGCUGGGCCAUCUGGGCCUUUUCAGGGGGCGGGGUCGUCUCGGCCUUCCCGAGGAGCCGGGCCAUCUAGGCCUUAUCGAGGAGCUCGAGGAGGGCCUAUCCGCAGACGCAGGGCUCACGUUGUGGAAGUGGAGCCUGAUGAGGAGGAGGAGGAGGCUACCGACCGUCAGUUCGAGACAUCUGUUGAGGAGGGAGGCUCUGGUUUUGGCUCGGGGAACAGAGGCGAGGCUGAGGAGGAUCCUGAGGAUGACGGCUCCGACUCAGAUGAUGGUGUGGAGGUCGUCCCGCAAAAGAGGACGAGGCGUGCUUCUCGUUCCCGCUCCCGAGGACUUUGAUGUUGUUAUUUCCUGCUUUAUUUUUCUUUUUGCUAGUAGUUUGUAGCACUUUGCACAUUGUUAGGCAGUUUUAUUUUUGUAAAACUUGUACCUUUGUUUGUUGUAAAGCAUGAUGAAAUGAAAUAGCUUUUG